UACGGAGGGUGCGAGCGUUGUCCGGAAUCACUGGGCGUAAAGGGCGCGUAGGCGGCCUGAUAAGUAGGGGGUGAAAUCUUGCGGCUUAACCGCAAGGCUGCCUUCUAAACUGUCAGGCUAGAGCACAGUAGAGGCAGGUGGAAUUCCCGGUGUAGCGGUGGAAUGCGUAGAGAUCGGGAAGAACAUCAGUGACGAAGGCGGCCUGCUGGGCUGUUGCUGACGCUGAGGCGCGACAGCGUGGGGAGCAAACAGG
rnacentral:rRNA from 1 species